rnacentral:rRNA from 1 species
AUGAAUAUUAUACCAUGUUCCAUUAAAACACUCAAGUGGUUAUACGAUAUAUCGGGUGUAGAAGUAGGCCAACACUUCUAUUGGAAAAUAGGAGGUUUCCAAAUUCAUGCCCAAGUACUCAUCACUUCUUGGGUCGUAAUUACUAUCUUGCUAGGUUCAGUUAUCAUAGCUGUUCGGAAUCCACAAACCAUCCCGACCGACGGUCAGAAUUUCUUAGAAUAUGUCUUUCCCUUGACUUGGCUCAACGGCUUUAGUUCAGUAAAUGCUUUCGUAUGA